GUGAUUCCGUCCUGAGCUCUGUGGGGAAAUUGGUGUUGAAGUUGGGCCACUGUGGGGAAAGAAAUGAGUGGUCCAGAAGAUAUUCAACCAGCCAAGAUUACCAUGUUUUCACAUCUAAGGAAAGAGAGCUGCAGGGAUGAGGGGAGGCGGGCACAUCUAUGGUCUCUAUGUUUCUGGGUGUGCAGGCUUGGGGAGCAGGAGAAAAAACUGGAGAAUCUGGAGAAAGUAAGACAUUACUGUUAAGUGCCUGGGGCAACUUUCUAAGUGAAAGAUUCCAAUAACUUCCACUCUGCUCCACCAUGCUAAUUAUUUCUUAUUUUUGUUCUGCUCCUUUGGGAAGCAAAAGCAGGACAGGUGAGAAGGAAAGGUGAGGAUGUUAUAACUCCUCUCCAGAAUUGACAUGUGGGGCUGGACAGGAGCCCAGAUGAUUCCUAAAUCCCAGGAUUCUUAGCAGGACCAACUGAGUGAAAGGGUUUGGGUUCCGUAGACCACUCUGAAGGCCAUGGCUAUGUCUUUGUCUAAGAAAAAUAAUCUUUCCUCAACUCUUCUUGGCCACACAGUGCCCUGAAGAGAUGCAAAGAAAGUGGAGUUGCAGUGGGAGAGAAAGGAGACACCAAAAGUCAUGAGGAGAGAAAUCAUAAUGACCAGAUGGUAAAAGAAAAUGAGUUUUGAAGGAAUACAGCAAAUAUUCACAAGUAUCUCCCAGACUUAAUGCACCUGGAUGAAGAUGAGAUUCUCAGCUCUACUUCCCCCUCCCCAUUCCCUUAUGUAUCACCAUUGUCAAGGUCAGGUGCUGACCAGGGACAAUUUCCCUUGAACUGUUCUUUAUUUAGUUCUCCAUCACUUGCCUAAUCAGAGAAAAGAAGCGGACAUGGCCACAGCCUUUCCAGUACAGAGGAGAGAACAUCCCAGACACUUUCAUAUCUUCUUCCCAUAUUCCUAGUUCAUGGACCUCCUGAGUGAAGAAAGAGCUUGAAGUUCUAGGAACUGAGAGGUUAACAUUUCUCUCAGGACCCAAGGCAAGAUUUCAGUGAUCACCAGAUAACCGGGAAAAAAGGGUUUGCAGUUGCUGGCCUUAACGGGGAGAUUUAAACAGGCAUGGCAUCUGAAUACCAACUCCAUCUGCCAACUGUCCCCCAUGUCAUUGCUCCCUUUCAACAACGGCCAAACACCCUGUAUGAAAAACCCUCCUUGAGUUGGAGGAAAAAGCUGUAACCAGACUGAGUCCUCAAGCCAUGCCUGAGUCCUCCAUUGGUUUGAUGGGAUGUUCCCUUGCACCUCUUCGGCUCUGCGGGAAUUCAGAGGAAGGGUGUCCAAUCAGGUCAGAGAAGAGAAAGCUUCCCUAAAUGAGCCACUCCUAGCUGUGGCUCCCACUUCACCAGCUAAAGAGCCACAUUUUCUCUUCCUCUGCCUCCAGCUCCCUUGGUUUCCCACAUCACUCCUGCUUUUCAGGUCCAGGCCUUCCAGAGGCUGGGGUUCAUCUAGAGACCUGCUGAGGAGGGGCCACACUCGCCUCUUUUGCUCGCAGCAAUCUAUUCUGCCAGGGGAUUCCCUGGAACACAAGAAUCCUGGGGCUCUAAGGGACCCUAAAGAGCGUCUGGUCCUGCUCCUUCCUUCAUCCGUGACGAAACUUGGGAUGGGAAGGCUGUUCCUGCUGGGUUUCCUCUGGGAGUGAGACCUCAAGACAACUGUGGCAGUUCCUGAUAGAAACACUAAAUAAACGAGGUCCUCUGUGGCAAGGGCUGACGCUUCCAGAAGCUUCUGAAUAGAUCAUUCUAUUUGACAAACAGUUAUAAAAUGCACACUAUUACCAAACACUGGGCUAGAUGGUGGUAAGAGAAGCAUGACCAGAAUGGAAUCUUAGGCUUUUUGAAGCUUAUAAAUAAGUGGGUGAAAUUGGUCAUGAUUAACUUUGACGUAUGAUAGUGGUGGUGAGUAAUCAGGCAGAGGUUUGCCCAGAGUGCUAUA
rnacentral:lncRNA from 10 species